rnacentral:rRNA from 1 species
GGGAUAACGUAGCGAAAGUUACGCUAAUACCGCAUACGAUCUAAGGAUGAAAGCAGGGGAUCUUCGGACCUUGUGCUCCUGGAGCGGCCGAUAUCUGAUUAGCUAGUUGGUGAGGUAAAGGCUCACCAAGGCCACGAUCAGUAGCUGGUCUGAGAGGACGACCAGCCACACUGGAACUGAGACACGGUCCAG